GUCAAUGCUCGCAGCUAUUCACUAACCAUCGCCUGUCAGCCUAUAUCUAUCUUCAUGUUUAGUCACAGGUCAGCUAAGUUGGGCUAAAUUCUGCCAUUACAGUUUAAUAAGGGGUUUAGUGAAUAUCACUGUGAACUUUUUUUAAUAAUGACCAAUUUGGAGUAUAGAGAGUAAAAGCCCCUGCAUGUUGAGGACAUAUUCCCCAUGUUGGAGAGUGCAUGAUAUCCCCCAGCCAGGCCUGGUAAUGGAUCUAAUCAAUGAGAGCUUGUCAUGCCAGUCUUGGGUCAUGCAAGGAAAAGUGCCAAGUCAAGCUAGGAGGGGCUCCUGGCUUGCACAGCCAGGGUGAGGAGGCUGUCUGAUGUCUGGACUUGAUACAAAGGAGCAGGGGUGGCCGAAAGGUGAAGAUACCAUGUGUUUUAGAACUAUAAUGCCCACAAUGCUUUGAUACGCUUAAAGCUGAUGUAGGGUCAUGGGGUUUGUAGUUUGACAGCCUUUUGGCCAACACUGACCUAACCACGUGUCUAGCCGUUUAAUUUUUUUUACUCAAAUAUAUGUAGACUUUUCUUUUUUUUUUUAUGUAGGACUGCCAUGUUCUCCAGUCCUGGCUGAGGUAGUAGUUUGUGCUGUUGGUCGGGUUGUGACACUGCCCGCUGUGGAGAUAACUGCGCAAGCUACUGCCUUGCUAGUGCUGGGGGUCAGCUGCAGGUGGAGACAAUGGCAUCAGGAAUUCCCUUUUGUAAUUGCCAUAGCAUUCUGAAACAUUUUAUAGUUUUUUUUUUUUUUGUAUGUGUGACAAUUUUAAAUGAUCAUUAUUUACCUGCUGGUUUAUAUUUCUGAAACUUAAGCUAUAUUCUGUUUUAUCCAUUAAGGUACUAUGGCAGAGUAGAGUGGCCAGUACGAAAAGAGCAGGUCAUUUCAUGUUCACACUGGGUCUUUUUGGUUGAAGGUUCAAUGUGCUUUUUUUUUUUUUUUUAAUUUGGUUUGUGUGAAAUAUUUGCAAGAAUUGGCAUUGUAGUGUCGUCGGAACACAACUUACACAUGAAAUGAAUUUAUUGUAAUACUAACCUUUCAACAGAGACGUGUCAAUCUUCAGUCUGUCAGGGCUUUGCAAUAUGGGUAGAUUAAACGUUUACUUAACAUAAAUGUUAUUUACAUUUGUUUCACAGUCUUUGUAACUUCAUUCAUUGACCGGUAAGAAGCUUAAUUCUUGAAAUAAAGUAGGUUCUAACUGGAACCCCAUUUAUUGCUUUUUGUGUCUGUU